rnacentral:lncRNA from 1 species
UAUGCGGGGCGGGUGUGGUGAAAGGUUUCAUGGGGAAGACUCAGUACGGUAUGUUGGGCGGCGGAGCUAACUCGGUGGCUCAUGGCUACACAAAAGGUGAUGGCCUUGGUGCUGAAAUUGUCGGCACCUUUGUUCUUGUUUACACUGUCUUCUCAGCCACUGACGCCAAGCGCAGCGCCCGAGACUCUCAUGUCCCUGUAAGCAUCCCAUACUUCAUAAUAAAAUCUAAUUAUGGAUGAAGUUAUGUAUGUUGUUACUGACGGAAGAAUUUAUUUUUGUAUGCCUAGAUUCUGGCACCAUUGCCAAUUGGGUUCGCAGUGUUCUUGGUACACUUAGCCACCAUCCCAAUCACUGGAACUGGUAUUAACCCGGCUCGUAGUCUUGGUGCAGCCAUCAUC